rnacentral:lncRNA from 1 species
CUUUCGGCCUAGCUGGAAGACUCACAGCCUCCUUGCACAGCGAGGCAGGCAGCAGGGAGAGAACACCCGGCCCCGAGCUUGCCCGUCCCAAGAGCCACCCCGUGUCGGACCCAAUCGGGCGGCAGGCCCUGCGCCGCCACGGCCCUGCUCGCUUCGUCCCGCGCCCCGACUGACCUGCACCGCGGGGCCCGGGCCGCACGGCCUCUGCAGCUCUGCCUCAGGCCUCCUAGCGAAGGCCUGCACGGACGGAGGCCCACUGGGACCGCCACUCGGCUGCCUCCACCGACCCCGUCCUGCGAGCCCGCCCCGCCGAGUCACAGAGCCAGCUCCCACUGCCUAGAACGGCGCCAGCGCUGAUAGGCGAUAGAUGCCACAGCUUCAGAAAAGAGAAGAUGAGCUACAAAGACAGCAAUAGGAAACACUCUGCAACAGAGCAAGGAUGAUCUUACUGAGCUGGAAGACUGAAAGACGAUUGUUCAUGAACACAAGCAGCCUUCAGUGGACAUUCAAUGUGUGCCUACAGCUGGAGAAGCUCACUGGUGUGAUGCUUUUGUUGCUCAUAAAUCUGAUUUCACAGAACUUGAAAAGAAGUUGGAUGAUACCAAAAGGGAACUGGAGGAGGUGCAUGCUGAUCUUGUCAUGGUCAUGCAGGAACUUGAUUUGGCAAGAGCUGAGGUACAACUAUGUGUUUGAAGAUCACGUGAAUGAGUGCUGCAAGACCAGUUUUUUUUGUCUCCUUUGUGGUAGUGGUUAUUGAAUGAUUCUUUAUAUAUAUACAUAUAUAUGUAUGUAUGUAUAUUUAACAGAAGAAGGACAUUUUAUUCUGAAUGUCCAGAUAUUCUUAAUGAUCAAUAUAGAGAAACUGAUUUCACUAUCAUUAUUGCACAUUUAUAUGUAUGUAAGAUACGUAAGCUAUGUCUCCUCACAUGUAAACAUACAAACCCCAUGUAUUCAUGCUGACAUUGUCUAAAUAUAAAGCUUUUCAGUUUCAAUUUUUCUAGAAAAACCCAGAAGAACAAACAGCGAAAUCAACACAACACCAAACCAAACUUUAGUGCUGUCAAUCUUGGUAUUGUGAGGAAUUUUACUGAUAAAUCUACUAAAUGUUGUUCAUUCACUGUGUAACAUCAGCUAAUCAGGUACUUAUAACUGGGAAAUUCUGUUUUUUCCCUCAAUACUAUUACAUGCUCCAACUUAAUUUUAAAUACUCCAAAACAUUCAAACAUUCAGCUUUUUUUACUGACUGCAGGAAGCCACUAGUAGAAGUAGUGGUAUGACAAAAAAAAUUCAAUUUUCUGUAUGAUGUAUAAGGCAUUAAGACAUUCAUGUAGUCAGACAGAAAUAAAAGUAAUUCUGUAGUACUAGAAGUUUAUAGGAAAUGUAAUGGUUGAAUAGAAAUUCAGAUUUCUUAUUUUACCUUGUUCAUUGCAAAUAAUAGAAAAAAAAUAUAUUAAGCUAUUUAAAUUCUGGUGGAAAUUUACUUUUGAUCUGUCCUAGUUGCACUAAAAUAUUAGCAGCUUACCUUCCUAGGUAUCCAUUUCAGUGUAGAAAUCGGAUAGUGUUUUGACAGUAAUAUCUUAGUAAGCAGAGUAAAAUAAUGUGACCAUGUGCGUAUUAACUUAUCCAAAAAUUCAGAGCUAGGCCUAAUUCUUUAUCUUAUUGAUUUUUUACUCGAGGGCUAACGCACAGUAUUUUUAAACAUUUCCAAUGAAGCAAUGGAAAUACAACUUAAUAAAAUAAAUAAUGAGUCUACCAUUUGACUGACAUUAGCAGAUUUUAAUUUACCCUAGUAUACUCUGAUUUGUGGUAACUGUACAUCUACAGUUUAAAAGAGAUUUAAUGUAUUCUGUAGGUACAGAAAUUUUUCAUAAAAGAAUGCUUGUAAUCUUACACAGAUAUAGUAAUUUGUCUUGGUAUACAAGUAUGUGUAAAUUCUAGCAUUGUAAGGAAAAUCUGAUUAUGAUUUAGCUGCAUUAAACAUAUCAAUAUAAUCUAGUACAAAUUUACUUCUUGUUUUUAAUGAUUCGGAUUCUACAACUGUAACAUCACUGUGUAGUAUUUAGUACUCCUGAAAAAUAUACUGUGGUAUACGACCUGUACUAUAUGAUGGGAACACUCUGAAUCACGUAACAAUGUGCUAUAUAGAAUAUUUUAUUAUCUAGAGUAAUUACAUUAUGCUAAGGAAGUAAAAAAAAAAAAAGAAAAAAAAAUCUUUCACUUCAUUUGUUUUGUUAGCUUUUGUAUAAUGUUUUCUAUGAAUUAAUUUUACAUACUGACUCAUCUUCUUUAUUUAUAUUUUAAGAGUCUUUUUUAAAGAUUAGAAAUAGUGAUAAAAUCAUUGCUCAGUGAAGCAAACAGACUUUGAAUCCAGCUAUGCACAUUAGAAGGAUGUUACACACUGCACACUUUUAAUAAUGAUCAUUUAGAAGAUAAUUUUAGCAUCCACACAAGGGAAAAAUGGAUUUUUGAUGAGUUCUUAUAUGACCAUAUGUGGUAUUAGUCAGUGUGAGGUAUUGCUAGCGAGCUCAUUGCUUUCAAAAAUCAAAGUUAAAUGGUUCAUCUAUCAUCAGAAUUUGUGUCUGGGCGACUUGUCUGAACAUCAGUAUGAUUUAUGGUUUGAAUUGGAGGAGUCAACCAUGCAUGUUUCUUAGUUUAUCGUUUUAUGCUGUCUUCAAUUAAAUGUCUAUAAACACAGUGAUGGCUUUAUGACAUUGUCCAUCAAUAAAGACUAUCAGAUUUUGCAUGAGAAUAUGUAAUUUUCAGAAAAAAUAAUGACCUUUUGACUUCUAUGUGCCCUGCUGUACACAUGAUAUAUAUGACAUGUUUAGACUUCAGUUUUUAUCCUAGAUCCAUUUGAUUUUAAUCUUACAGACUAAUUAAGACAGUGGCCAUAUUUUAUUUAACAUAAUUCAGAUAGACUACCAUCUAGGAUUUUUGAUGAAACUAUCAGAUGGUGAUAUAUUCAGUAAUAAUAGUCAGAUAUAACAGGUGCAUGUCUCUAAGAGUAUUUAGAAAAUAUAUUAUUUUAAUUGUUCUGAAACAAAUUGAAAGUGAUAUCAGAGCAGUUUAUUGCAUAUUGAUUCAGUAUUUGCUUAUUUUAGCAUUUCUUUUUUUUUUUUUAAGAAAAAAUAAUGCAUACAUUACAAUUAAAUUAAACCAUUCCGCAAAAUGGAUGAAUACUGAAAAACAUAGGCUCUCAUUUUCUUCAGGGACAUUGAAUAAUGAUACUUUCACUCUUCGUAUUUAUGAAUUACAGUAUAGUAUACACAGUGGCAGCAUAUGGAGGCUGAAUCAUUUUCUGCGCAGCUGUGCCCUGAUAUUGCUGUCGACAGCUAUGGACUGUAAAAAAAAAAAACAUUAGUCCAGCUCUUCAGGCUAUACUGAAUAUCUUUUGAGUAUGUUUUUAUUGAAAAGGUGUAUAUUUCAUGAUGUUUUUUGUUUUGUUUUGCUUUGUUUUGUUUUGCUUUGUUUUUAAUAGGCCAUAGAAACUUAAGGUGAUACAGAACCAUUUAUCUGAAAUGUAGUAGUAUAGCUUUUAAGUAAAUUUUGGAUAGAAGAAGGAAAUAUUUCAUAUGCAAAAUCUAGCUAACACAGCAUCCAAGCUCCUAUCUGCAUGCAUAUUACUACACAGGAAAUGUAUGAGACGUGGGCAAAUAUGUAUUUGUUGAAUAUUUCAGCAACACAGGUUAGUGAAAAUUAUAAACAUAACGUACGCUCAUUCCAGCCUGCCUAGUAUUCUUCUGAGCUUUUGUGGAGAUGCUUGCUGUAAAUUUUUCUGUAUCAUGAGGACAUGACCUGAAUUCAUUUUGUAUUUGGUGCAUUCUCACAAGUUACAAGUUGGCAGACACCAGAUGGUGCUAGGGAGGCAACUGUCAAAAACCUAUAAAAACUUAAGUCAAACUGAAGUUAAUAGAAUUUGAGGUUUUACUGUUGAGUAGGUGUCUACUGCUGGGUAGGCAGAUCUUCCUUUUGCUAUAACAAUUAAUAUCCUUGCAAGUAUAUCUUCUCGCGCUAUUUGUCUCUGAUACAUUUUUUUUUUCAAUAGCUUCAGUGCAGCCUAUCUAGAAGAUACCUCCAUAUAAACAAAAAUAUUCCAUAUCGUUUCUUGUAAGAUCACAAUCCAUCUGAGAUGAACAUAUUCUAAAACUUAUCAGGUUAUCAGAUUUACUUCCUUCUCUAGAGAGUAGGAAUCUUUUCAGCAGACUGGAAGAAUCCAGUUAAUGUAACAUAUAUUAAGGUCCUCAUACCACAGAAAGUGGAUGAAGUAGUACUGUAACUUUUGGGAGUCGGUGGCAGUCUGUGAACAAUCUUUUUAGGACUAGACAUCUAAACUUAAUCACAUUACAUGUGGAAUGUCUGACGGUGCUGGGUAUGACAGUACUUAUCCAUACAUUCCAGACUAAGGGAACUGAUAUAUUACCAUAUGGACUUAAUUUAAACAGAUGCUCAAGUAAUUGUGUUUUACAUUAAUAAACAGCCAGUACCUGAGAACAGCUUCCUGUACAUGGAGUCCUUGUAAAUAUGACAGGAAGCUGUACUGUACAAGUCAUCCUUGUUUUGUUCUAUUAAGAAGUCAGCACUUUCUAAUGGAAACCACACGAUGCUAUGGUUAUUUUAUUAUUUUAAACAUAGAAAUAAAGUACAAUAUACAAUAUGUGCUGAACAGCUUUUUGAACAAGUAUAUCUGAGAACAACAAGAAGACCAUGACUUAAACAAAACUGAAUUCUACAGAAUCACUGGAUGAUGGGAAAAUUCAAAUAAAAUGGAUGUCAGGUCUAUUCUCCAGCCUCCUGCUGGAAGCUGUCUCAGCUAUGAGGAUAGACCAAGUUUUUCAGGGUUUUACUUAGCCUAAUACAAGUUCUUCCAGUGCUUGAUCCUCCUCAUGAAAAGUGUCCAGUCCAAAACUGUCUUGUUCUAAAUAAUGCCUGCUGUAGAAAGGGACUUCAGGUAGUCCAUCCCCAGGCUGUACCAAUACAAGGGAUUCUUUUGUUCCAGGUAUAGGACUUAGCCUUUUAUAUAGUUAAGUAUCAUAAGGUUGAUGUUCAUUCCAUUAGCCUGUUCAGAUCCCUUACUAAAUCCCUGUUCUCAAUUCUAUUGACUUGUCCUCUCAGUUUGGUGUCACCCAGAAACUUGAUGAGAGUGCACUCCAUGGCAUUCUCUGGGUCACUGACUAAGCUUUUAGAGAAGCAAAGUCCUAGUACAGUCAUGAUUCUGUGAUAAUGUGAUCUGUGGUAUGCCAUUUGUUACAGGCCUCCAGUUGGAAAAUGACUUAUUAACUGCUAGUUAAACAAUUGUUAUUCAUCUAGCUGUAAAUUCAUGCAGGUCAUAAUGACUUAACUCAGAUAUUUCUGGAGACAGUCUUGAAAGCUUUGCAAAAGUUGUGGUACAUGACAUCUUUGGUAUUAUACAGUCAUUGCUUAAGGGACUGAAAAGAUAUCUUUGCUAUAUAUUUGAAGAAAAAAAAUAAAACUCCAAGAACAGAUUUAUACAAAAAUUUAGACAUUGACAGUUCAGAGUUUAUUAUUAAAAACGGACACUUAUGAAUAAAGAUGAACAUGGAAGGGUUCCAAAGGAGACAAUCAUGAAGGACAAGUAAUUAAAGGAGUAAGUCCCUGGUACCUGAAAGAUGUAAAUAAUUUAAAUACCUUUAGAAUCUUCUGAAUUUAUAUUAGUGAGAUUCAUUUCUAAAUUCAUUUCUGAAUUUGGGAGCCUGCCUGUAGUCAUCAACAUAUGGGGAAUGUAUGUGUAAAGACACAAAACAAUUAAUGGAAGCCAGAGUGAUUUUGCUCAUUAUUAAGUAGAUAGUUUUGUCAACUUACUAGCUGUCCAGAUCAUUUAUGUUCAAUUUACUGGCUAGGUCUCCAGUGGCCAUGAAACUUAGAUAUCUAAUUCACAUGUUGAUACUUAAAUGAGAAGUAUAAAAUAAAGAGUGUUUAAAAGCAAGCAAACAAACAAACAAAUAAACAAAACAAACAAUUGGCAAAGUAUUUCCCCCUAUGCUUAAGAUACAUACUGAAGGAAUAUGAUUUUACCAAACUUAUUCAGGCCAUAAAUUAGUUUGCUAUUGACGCACUUGUCAGUGUGCUGAAAACAGUAGUGUGUGUACUACUGAUCUAAUAAUGAACACUAUCAUCUCUUCGUGUUUUUUUUUUUUUUUUCUUCCUCUUUUCUUCUCCCCCAGGUGUUUGCUUUUCAGUUUAACAACAACUUUGGGGUUUUCCAUUCAAUUUAAGAGUGGAGCAUACAAUACACUGUAUCAAGGUGGAUAACACUUGCCCAGAUAUUUGAACAUUGAGGAAAUGAUAAAGAAUAUUGAUUUAUUGUACUUUAAAAGGAUUUAGGAAUAAUAUUUGCUCAAGAUACUUUAUUAGAGACAACUAAUUUUCAGUGUUAAUCACACAAUAAUUAAAGAUACAUAUGACUUCCAGGCAUGAUCUGUUAACAUAAGGUCCUUUUAAAAAAUGUGGUUCCCCCAGCCACAUUAGAAAGAUGAAGGACUGCAUGAAUCAAAGAUUCAUAAGCCUAGUUAUAGAGUGUCAUCAGAAAAUUAAAGACAGAAUAAAAGAUUAUCUGUGAUGGUUCAGAAGGAAAAGCAAUGAAAGGAAGCACAAACAGGACUGUAUCAAAUUCAUCUCUUCUAGUUAUCUGAUGGGGGCAGAUAUUUUGCUUCUAAUUCACCAUAGUGUGUGCUGUAGACUUAGCAGUACACUUCUGCCUACCAGAAAUAAAUAAACAAAUCUGAUUUAUGUUGGUAUAAGAAUACUUCAUUUUGGGUAUGUACACACCAAAGGGUUCUUCAGAGUUGUGAAUUUGUUUUGUUUUGUUUUUAAUAUUAUUAUUAUAUUGUAUUAUUUAAAUACAGAAAUACCUUUGACAUCGUCAUGCUAAUUGUUGUGGUGAACUAAAUACUAAACCAUUACACGAAACAAAAUACAAAAUAUAUAAACUAAAUAUUUUUCCUAGUAUUUUCAUUUCACAACAUCACAUAAUUAUGAGGAAAAAAAAAUUAUAUUGCCCACAAUUUAGAUCCAGUUUCUGAGAUCGUUUUUAUGUAUGUGCAUAAAAUAUGCAUAUAAAGCUUUAGCUUCAUGAGUAAGAUAUCUCUUCUUUUAGACUCAUUUAUUUUCAUAAUCACAGCUGUAUCUGAAAAAAUACAAAUGUCUUAAAAUAUUUUAAUAUUUUUUCAAAGUUGAUUUACUAUUUUGGUCAUGUCAUGAUGUCAGACACCCAUAAAAACAGACUGUUUAAUUUUCAUAGUAUAUAUUUGAAAGGUUAACACGUAAUUUAACUUGCCUAUUUCUCACUGCUUAUACUGAAAAGAAAAAAAAAUAAAAGAAAGCAGAAUCUAUAAAACUUUUAUACUUAGGCUAAAAGUGAAUUAAAAGAUUAACAUUUAUUAUUAUUAUUCAAUUUUGCUGUUUGGGUUAUUUUCAUAGUAUCUUGGUCCGUAAUCCUACCAUGUGCUUUUGUACAGUGGUUUGUUGGUUUUAUAUAAAUUUCUUAUUGUAAUUAAUGUUGUUUUUAUUUACUGAGCCUUAUUGUCUUUGUAAAAUAAAAAUCCAAAGUUACCUACCAAGGGUGAAUGAUAAAGCAUUAUUUUCAUGAAAAAUGACGUUAUACUUAUUAAUAUAUUUUUUUUCUUAUUUCUAGACUACAGAUUUUAUACAAAGAUAAUAUGAUUUGCCUUGCAAAAGUAGAAUAUUAUCAAAACAUUAUGAUCAUAAAUUAGGAACUGAACGAAGAAAGAGAAGCUAGAAAAUUUAAAGUACAAAUUGGACAGAGCAAAACUGAAGUUAUGAAAAUAUGUUAUGCUAUUAAAAAGAAAAAUAAGGUGUGUAAAAUGUAUUUUGCUUAAAAAAUUUUCUGUAACUGUGGUUUACUGGUAAUGCACAUCCAGAC